UACGUAGGGUGCGAGCGUUAAUCGGAAUUACUGGGCGUAAAGCGUGCGCAGGCGGUUCGUUGUGUCGGCGGUGAAAGCCCCGGGCUUAACCUGGGAAUGGCCGUUGAAACUGGCGAACUGGAGUGUGGCAGAGGGGGGUGGAAUUCCGCGUGUAGCAGUGAAAUGCGUAGAGAUGCGGAGGAACACCGAUGGCGAAGGCAGCCCCCUGGGCUAACGCUGACGCUCAGGCACGAAAGCGUGGGGAGCAAACAGG
rnacentral:rRNA from 1 species